rnacentral:rRNA from 1 species
CCUCUUUCCGACCCGUCUUGAAACACGGACCAAGGAGUCUAACAUGCGCGCGAGUCGCGGGGUAUCGAGCGUACUUCGGUGCGUUCGUUAUGUUGCGAAACCCGUACAUGUUGAAGGCGUAAUGAAAGUGAAUGGGGAAGAUGGUGUUCCGAGUACACGUUCCGCGAUCGUCGGUAUCGCGGCCGGGCACCCGCAUUCCCAGGGCGUCUCAACGGCCCGUCGUUGAUGCGGACAGUCGUCUUUCGGGGCGGCUGUCGGUCGGCGACGAACCGAGGCGCACCUAUAGCGUGCACGUUGGUACCCGAAAGAUGGUGAACUAUGCCUGGCCAGGAUGAAGUCAGGGGAAACCCUGAUGGAGGUCCGCAGCGAUUCUGACGUGCAAAUCGAUCGUCUGAGCUGGGUAUAGGGGCGAAAGACUAAUCGAACCAUCUAGUAGCUGGUUCCCUCC